UCAUGCCUGCCUCACCCAGCUUCUCCCUCUCCCCUCCCAGAAACUCAGACCCAAGGGGCAGCUCCUCACCAGGGAUGUGGAAGUACUCUACAUCAUCCCGCAGGGCUUCACCACUCUCACAUCCAUCAUCAACAGAAUUCCACAGCUUUACGUUUCCAUUUCCUAACCAAGCAGGACAGUCACUCAUGUCAUUGUGUUCUCCCGUGUCCUCCUCUGGAGAUUCUUCACAGUCACCUCAUUCAUCAAUAAUAUACCAUAUGUUCUUACUGCCAUCAUCCAGCAGCUCACCCCCAGCCACCCAUGACUCUCCUGUCUGUCCCAGCUACUCUCCAACCACGCCCACAUUUCAGCGGGAGUCUGUACCCCACACCCC
rnacentral:lncRNA from 1 species